rnacentral:lncRNA from 1 species
GUCUCCUCCCCCCUCUUUAACCGCACUGGCCUCCUCCUCCACGAAAGGUGGCAGCGGCAGACGGCGCGGUUCCCCCUCGCCUGGCCACCCGCAGCAGACGUCCUGCCCUCAGAGUCUAGUUCGCCUGGCUUUUGGGUGUCCGGGAGCUCCCCCUCGGGGCGGCGCACUGCUGCAGCCCGCCGGGUUGUCAGCAGCUCCCGCUGUGAAGAGGCCGCGGCAAUUCGCUUGCCCGCCCGCGCGCCCGCCCACGUGUACCGAAAGGAGCGAAGCCAGAGCAGUUGCCAGGCCGGCGCUUGCCACCGGUGGGUGCCUCACCUCUGGCGCUGGCGGGGGCCGUAACCCGAACCCCUCUGCCCGGAGCUACAUUUGCAUAAUUCGGCUACCCCCCUUUCUUUCGGACUCAGGCUGGAGAUGCGAGUCGGGUUCCCCUUCGAGGCGUCGUCUUGCCGGUGGUCAGCGCGGGGGCCGCGGGACCGGCCGGAGCGCAGGCGGAGCGGGCUGGCGCACGUGGUAA